rnacentral:rRNA from 1 species
GAUGAACGCUGGCGGCGUGCUUAACACAUGCAAGUCGAACGGGGAACCUUUUAUUGAAGCUUCGGCAGAUUUAGUUGGUUUCUAGUGGCGGACAGGUGAGUAACGCGUGGGUAACCUGCCUUAUACAGGGGGAUAACAGUCGGAAAUGACUGCUAAUACCGCAUAAGCGCACAGGACCGCAUGGUCUGGUGUGAAAAACUCCGGUGGUAUAAGAUGGACCCGCGUUGGAUUAGCUUGUUGGUGGGGUAACGGCUCACCAAGGCGACGAUCCAUAGCCGGCCUGAGAGGGUGAACGGCCACAUUGGGACUGAGACACGGCCCAGACUCCUACGGGAGGCAGCAGUGGGGAAUAUUGCACAAUGGGGGAAACCCUGAUGCAGCGACGCCGCGUGAAGGAAGAAGUAUCUCGGUAUGUGAACUUCUAUCAGCAGGGAAGAUAGUGACGGUACCUGACUAAGAAGCCCCGGCUAACUACGUGCCAGCCGCCGCAGUAA